GAUGAACGCUGGCGGCGUGCCUAACACAUGCAAGUCGAACGGGGUAGCAAUACCCAGUGGCGGACGGGUGAGUAACGCGUGAGAAUCUAUCUCCAGGACGGGGACAACAGUUGGAAACGACUGCUAAUACCCGAUAUGCCGAAAGGUGAAACUUAUUUGGCCUGAAGGAGAGCUCGCGUCUGAUUAGCUAGUUGGUGGGGUAAGAGCCCACCUAGGCGACGAUCAGUAGCUGGUCUGAGAGGAUGAGCAGCCACACUGGGACUGAGACACGGCCCAGACUCCUACGGGAGGCAGCAGUGGGGAAUUUUCCGCAAUGGGCGAAAGCCUGACGGAGCAACGCCGCGUGAGGGAGGAAGGUCCUUGGAUUGUAAACCUCUUUUCUCGAGGAAGAAGACAGUGACGGUACUCGAGGAAUCAGCCUCGGCUAACUCCGUGCCAGCAGCCGCAGUAACAC
rnacentral:rRNA from 1 species